CCUACGGGUGGCAGCAGUGAGGAAUAUUGGUCAAUGGGCGUAAGCCUGAACCAGCCAAGUCGCGUGAGGGAUGAAGGUUCUAUGGAUCGUAAACCUCUUUUAUAAGGGAAUAAAGUGCGGGACGUGUCCCGUAUUGUAUGUACAUUAUGAAUAAGGAACGGCUAACUCCGUGCCAGCAGCCGCGGUAAUACGGAGGAUCCGAGCGUUAUCCGGAUUUAUUGGGUGUAAAGGGUGCGUAGGCGGCCUUUUAAGUCAGCGGUGAAAGUCUGUGGCUCAACCAUAGAAUUGCCGUUGAAACUGGGGGGCUUGAGUAUGUUUGAGGCAGGUGGAAUGCGUGGUGUAGCGGUGAAAUGCUUAGAUAUCACGCAGAACCCCGAUUGCGAAGGCAGCCUGCCAAGCCAUGACUGACGCUGAUGCACGAAAGCGUGGGGAUCAAACAGGAUUAGAUACCCCUGUAGUC
rnacentral:rRNA from 1 species